UACGUAGGGGGCGAGCGUUGUCCGGAUUUAUUGGGCGUAAAGAGCGUGUAGGCGGCCAGGUAGGUCUGCUGUGAAAACUCGGAGGCUCAACCUCGAGACGUCGGCGGAAACCAUCUGGCUAGAGUCCGGAAGAGGAGAGUGGAAUUCCCGGUGUAGCGGUGAAAUGCGCAGAUAUCGGGAAGAACACCCGUGGCGAAGGCGGCUCUCUGGGACGGUACUGACGCUGAGACGCGAAAGCGUGGGGAGCGAACAGG
rnacentral:rRNA from 1 species